GGCCUAACACAUGCAAGUCGAGCGGCAGCGACAUGAUAGAAGCUUCGGUGGACAUCAUGGGCGGCGAGCGGCGGACGGGUGAGUAAUGCCUGGGAAUAUGCCCUGAUGUGGGGGAUAACCAUUGGAAACGAUGGCUAAUACCGCAUAAUCUCUUCGGAGCAAAGAGGGGGACCUUCGGGCCUCUCGCGUCAGGAUUAGCCCAGGUGGGAUUAGCUAGUUGGUGAGGUAAAGGCUCACCAAGGCGACGAUCCCUAGCUGGUCUGAGAGGAUGAUCAGCCACACUGGAACUGAGACACGGUCCAGACUCCUACGGGAGGCAGCAGUGGGGAAUAUUGCACAAUGGGGGAAACCCUGAUGCAGCCAUGCCGCGUGUAUGAAGAAGGCCUUCGGGUUGUAAAGUACUUUCAGCAGUGAGGAAGGUGGUGUCGUUAAUAGCGGCAUUGCUUGACGUUAGCUGCAGAAGAAGCACCGGCUAACUCCGUGCCAGCAGCCGCGGUAAUACGGAGGGUGCGAGCGUUAAUCGGAAUUACUGGGCGUAAAGCGCAUGCAGGCGGUCUGUUAAGCAAGAUGUGAAAGCCCGGGGCUUAACCUCGGAACUGCAUUUUGAACUGGCAGACUAGAGUCUUGUAGAGGGGGGUAGAAUUUCAGGUGUAGCGGUGAAAUGCGUAGAGAUCUGAAGGAAUACCGGUGGCGAAGGCGGCCCCCUGGACAAAGACUGACGCUCAGAUGCGAAAGCGUGGGGAGCAAACAGGAUUAGAUACCCUGGUAGUCCACGCCGUAAACGAUGUCUACUUGGAGGUUGGUGUCUUGAACACUGGCUUUCGGAGCUAACGCGUUAAGUAGACCGCCUGGGGAGUACGGUCGCAAGAUUAAAACUCAAAUGAAUUGACGGGGGCCCGCACAAGCGGUGGAGCAUGUGGUUUAAUUCGAUGCAACGCGAA
rnacentral:rRNA from 1 species